AUGGCGCUACGCGAGGCGCGGAGCGUGCAGGCCGCUGUCGGCAGCCUGCACGCCAUCUCGGCACCCAGCGCGCCCUGCUCGCUGCGGCCCUGGGAACUGCGGGCGGGUGCCCCAGGCGCUGCGCACCGGCCCUGCUCUGCUGUCGGUGCGGAAAUUCACAGAAAAACACGAAUGGGUAACAACAGAAAAUGGUGUUGGAACAGUGGGAACCAGCAAUUUUGCACAGGAAGCUUUGGGAGAUGUUGUUUAGUCUGCCUGAAGUUGGGACAAAGUUGAAUCAACAAGAGUUUGGUGCUUUGGAAAGUGUGAAAGCUGCUAGUGAACUCUAUUCUCCUCUAUCAGGAGAAGUGACUGAAAUUAAUAAAGCUCUAGCAGAAAAUCCAGGACUUGUCAGCACGUCUUGUUAUGAAGAUGGUUGGCUGAUCAAGAUGACAUUCAGUAACCCUUCAGAACUAGGUGAACUAAGGAGUGAAGCAGCAUAUGAGAAAUACAUAAAAUCUACUGAGGAGUGA
rnacentral:lncRNA from 1 species